rnacentral:rRNA from 1 species
UACGUAGGGUGCAAGCGUUAAUCGGAAUUACUGGGCGUAAAGCGUGCGCAGGCGGCUUUGCAAGACAGAUGUGAAAUCCCCGGGCUUAACCUGGGAACUGCAUUUGUGACUGCAUGGCUGGAGUGCGGCAGAGGGGGAUGGAAUUCCGCGUGUAGCAGUGAAAUGCGUAGAUAUGCGGAGGAACACCGAUGGCGAAGGCGGCCCCCUGGGCCUGCACUGACGCUGAUGCGCGAAAGCGUGGGGAGCAAACAGG